UCCAGGAAAACAAAAAAGAGCUACUUUCUUUGCUUUUUCCUCAUAGCCAAACAAUCCCUUUCCCUAUCCUUUUCCCAUGACGGUUUUUGGCCGUUGCUCCAGAGCUGCUUUGGUGGCGACAACGCCGACACCAACCGCCAAUGAUACAUUCGCUUACGUAAUUCGAGCUCUCUCUUCUUCUUUGUAUUCUUCUUCGACGUUAAAUUCCGAAACUGACCUCAAUCAUAAUAAACCGGCCGUGUUGGGGAUUUUGAAGAGAGAACCGAAGGGUAGAAAUGUCCAGUGGGUAUUUUUAGGGUUUCCCGGCGUCGGCAAAGGCACCUACGCUUCGCGGUUGUCGAAUCUUCUCGGUGUUCCUCACAUCGCCACCGGUGAUCUUGUCCGUGAUGAACUUGCUUCUUCUGGUCCCCUUUCUUCGCAGUUAAAGGAGAUUGUUAGCCAGGGUAAAUUAGUUUUAGAUGAAAUCAUAAUUGAUCUACUGUCCAAACCUCUUGAAGCAGGAGAACCUAGGGGUGAAUCUGGGUUCAUUCUUGAUGGUUUUCCUCGAACAAUAAGACAGGCAGAAAUAUUAGAGGAAGUGACAGACAUUGACUUAGUGGUUAACCUGAAGCUUAGGAAAGAAGCAUUCCUUGCAAAAUGCCUUGGAAGAAGGAUUUGUAGUGAGUGUGGAGGAAACUACAAUGUUGCUUGUAUUGAUAUCAAGGCUGAGAAUGGGAGGCCUGGAAUGUACAUGGCUCCUCUUCCUCCUCCUCCUCAAUGUGCAUCCAAGCUUUUUACUCGAGCUGAUGAUAUUGAAGAAGUUGUUAAGGAACGGCUCCGCAUAUACCAUGAGAUCGUAUUUCUCACAUUCCCAUAUAUUUUUCUCAAUUGCAUUCCUGAGAAUUUAAUUAACUGUUGCAGGGAAUUUUUGGGUGUAAUCUGUAUGUUUCCAAAUUACAAGAUAUAAUCUAGCCACCAAAUAUGCCAUAUUGCUAUUUAGACUCAACCUGUAAAGGAUUUCUAUCGUAGUCAUGGGAAGUUGUUAGAAUUUGAUCUUCCUGGAGGAAUCCCAGAAUCCUGGCCAAAGCUGCUUCGAGCUUUAAAUCUUGAAGAUCAGGAAGACAAACAGUUUGCAGCUGCAUGAUUUAAUACAUCUCUGUACCAUUUGAAGUAUUUUUGCAAGUGAUUUUAGACUCAAAGCUUCAAGAUGAAUGCAUCUGUCAAAAUCAUUACGCAAACAAAUGGAAUCACUGAGAGAAUUGUGGCUCUGCAAAUGUUAAAACAUCAAGAGAAACUCAAAGAGAGUAAUGAUAGUGUUGCGAGUUAAAAUCAGCAGGCAUGAUUUUCAGCAUAAUGAUCAGCCAAGUGAACGGAGUGUAGUUUACGUUUUGCGUUAGUCAUCAGUUGAGACAGAAAACCAAAUGCUUGAAACCCAAAAAAAAAAAAAAAAGAGAUCACCUAUGAAUUUCAAGCUUUAACUUGAGGGUCAUGCUUUAAAUUGGUCCUGGAAUUGUCUCCAAUCAAGAAAAUGCAGUUAUCAUCCUUUGGAAACGAAGACAUUGCAAUCUUGUACACAAUUUCAUGGCUCAAGCUCUUAGGACUAUACCAGCAAUGAAUAAGUUUCUGCCAACAUUUUAUGGUCAUGAGGGAUAUAAUUAUCUUUUGCUGCAAGAAAAUGACUUAUUAAUGUUUUGGAGCAUUCUGAUAAUUCGCGUUAGCUCAGUCAGUGUUUCAUCUCACUUGGCAACAUAUGAGCAUAUUGAUUUUGGAGCAAUCAUUUGAACGUGAAAUUACACAAACGCAAGAAAAAUAUUCGGCCUUUGUGUUUAGUCUAUCUUCCAUCUCUUCUAAUUUCAUGUUUUACCUUUUAGAUCGAGCUCGGCACCAACAGAGGUUGUGAAGUUGAAUAAAGCUCACAGUAAAAUUCAACCACCAAUAUGAGCCAAGGUUUUAACGGGUGGGAGUUUGAUGAUCUCUAUAGGAUUUGAGUGGGAGAACAAAUUCGCCAUAUAUAUCUCACAGUCAUGGCGGUUAACGUAGGCCAGUCGCCCAUUUGACGACCCUGCAAGGUGGGCGUCGGCGAUCUCCUCCGGCAAUACCAUCUACAAAAGAUUCAAACAUUUGCUUGUCUACUGGGUUGUAGAAGUGAAAAUUCACCGUCUUUUCAUUAUCCCCACCGCCGACAGGCUGAGCAUGUUCAAAAGGAAGCAUUAACAAAGAUGGAUGGUUUUGCCACCGAAGGUGAUGAUCAAAGAUUUAAAUUAUGGUACCAGUCAAGUUUUUGAUUACGUCACAUUUAUCAAGAUUAGAUA